GACUCAUACAGGUAAACAGACUCAUGGAAGUACACAGACUUUUGUAUGAGUCUGUGUACCUGUAUGAGUCUGUGUACCUGUAUGAGUC
rnacentral:pre_miRNA from 1 species